ensembl:lncRNA PVT1 Pvt1 oncogene
CUUCUCUUGAGAGGCAGGCGGGCCCUAGCUGCAGCGUCAAGGUCUGGGGAUUCUGUGGCUCUGUAGGGUGAAGGGCACUGGAGACCUACCAGGGGCUGGGCCAUUGGAGUGGUGGGUGCUGGGGAGCUUCCGUGGGCCCCUCCAGGUCCACUCCUUGCUCUUCUCUGCCUUGUUUUGUGCCCAGAAGGCUGACCUGUGUGGAUGCAUUAUCAGGGUGGAUGCAACACAGGGCUGCCAUGCUCUCUGGUAUCAGUUUGGAAGGCACUGGCAGGAUGGGAAGGCAGGCGGGGAGUGAGGUCAGGGGGCCUAUCCUUCCACUGCCUCCCUGCUGCUCCCUGACUGAUUCAGGACAGAAUAACGGGCUCCCAGAUUCACAAGCCCCACCAAGAGGAUCACCCCAGGAACGCUUGGAGGCUGAGGAGUUCACUGAGGCUACUGCAUCUUGAGACUCAGGAUGAAGACCCAGCUUGGGGCUGUCAAAGGUUUUUUGCAUGUCUGACACCCAUGACUCCACCUGGACCUUAUGGCUCCACCCAGAAGCAAUUCAGCCCAACAGGAGGACAGCUUCAACCCAUUACGAUUUCAUCUCUGCCCCAACCACUCAGCAGCAAGCACCUGUUACCUGUCCACCCCCACCCCUUCCCCCAAACUGCCUUUGAAAAAUCCCUAACCUAUGAGCUUUGAAUAAGAUGAGUACGAACUUCAUCGCCCACGUGGCGUGGCCGGCCUCGUGUCUAUUAAAUUCUUUUUCUACUACAA